CAAAGUUGUUGUGAUAAAUGAAAAUAUCUUUGAGGGUAUUUAGCUCCUAUAUCAGACUUACAUGUAGAAUAUCGAUCAUGUUAUACAAAAAUAUUUAUAUUUAAGACAGAUUAAGUAAUGUUGUAGCUAGGAAAACAUAGAUCAUUAAAGACCAGUAUUUAAAGUUUUGCAAAUAUAUUUGAAAUGUUGUAAAACAGUUUAACAGUUUUUUGCAAGGCAAGAUACUUGCAUGUGAACUUUUGUAUAUUGAGCAUAAUCUGAUUGAACAGAAACAUUAAGUCAUGUUUUAUUAUUUGUAAAGUCACCUUAAAUUAACAUCAACUAAUUCAUUUGCAUUCAGCACUCUUAAGAAUCCAGUUCUUAAGAAUAUUUACCCAAGAGAAAUUUGAAUAGAAGCUUUUUUUGAAUUUCAGUUAUCAAAUGAAAGUUUAAAUCUAUCUAAUUUCUACACUGACCCCACCAAUGUAAAUUAUUUGGUUUUAGAUUAGUCUUGCAGUUUUUCACCAGUCACAGAAGUAACAAUUAAACAGACCAAUUGAAGCAGAAAACUUGGAAGGAGGGGGGGGGGGGGUCAUAAUUAUUCAUUUUACCCAUUCAUGCCACCAUACAAUUGCUGCUCACUGGUUGGAAGAAAAGUCUUUCAGUCACAUAUGUUUAUUUAGAGGUAGUAUUUAUUGUAGCAUUUGAAGAGAGUUCCUAAAGUGUCUGUCGUGUUUGACUAAACAGUCUUUUUGUAUUGCUCACCACAUCUCACCACAACAUGCUGAGACUGUUUGUGUUGCUUACAGCAGUGGUCUGCUGUAAUGCCUGCAGAUUAGAAAUGUUUCCCACUCAAGAUUCCACUAGCAGCCCACAAGGUUGUGCUGACUCUGAUGGAAAUCUCCAUGAUUUUUUCUCUGAGUGGGAGAGUGGACCCGAAACAUGUGUCUGUGUGGAUUUUGGAACCAUCUGUUGUAAACGAUUUGGUAAUUGGGGACCGACCGAUCAUGACUACGGCAUUAUGGAUGGUGAAGGAUUUGGUAUAUGGGGACUGACUGAUCAUGACUACAUAACUAUUGAUGAUGAAGGAUAUGUCCAUGAUGUAAUCACUGCUCAGACCCCUGGUGAUUACCAAGUGGCUGAGGACACAGAAUCAGAAAAGUAAUGA
ensembl:lncRNA